AUGCUUCACCAGCUUAUGUACUAAAAUUGGAAAGAUGUGGAUAAGAUCACCAUGGUCUCUGGGAAAGAGUGACAAGCAAAUGCAUGCAGCAUCUCAUAUUUUU